rnacentral:pre_miRNA from 1 species
AAAUUACUCCCUCCGUUCGGAAUUACUUGUCUCGGAAAUGGAUGUAUCUAAAACUAAAAUAUGUCUAAAUACAUCCAUUUCUGCGACAAGUAAUUCCGAACGAAGGGAGUAGAAG